AAGGGAAAUACAGAGAACACAUCAAAUUGCUCUCUACAAAGUAUCAGUUUCUGGAACAAGCAGCCACUGUUGAAUUGUUGGUACAUGAGUCUGAAAUUUAACUUCUAUCGCUUGCCAUGGGUCCAUCUGCUUGUACAACAAAGGCAUUUUCUAUAUGUAAACAGGAAGAGUGCAAUUCAGUUGCACCACCAAUGAAAAGGCAGAACUAGGCCUGCCAAAACAAAACCGAAUCAAAACUCAAACAGAUGGAGCAGCAUUUUUUUUUUUUGAAGCUGUACAGUCUGCUAGCCAAACACCUACAGGAGACUGUCGGCGGAGCAUGUAGUGGCUGUUGUCUAAGCGUCGUUGCUUCUUCCAGCAUCUAUGGCCUAGCCUCACACGGAAUCGAGCCAACCAAUUCCCGUCGGUUUUGGGUGGCUCCGUUGAAGAAUGAAGACGCAAUCGUUUUGAGCCGCCAGAUAUGCAUGGCCAGAUUACUCAGCGAGCCUGCCCCUUUUCUCUGAUUCGAGAGAAUUUGAAGAAGCUGAGGAGCAACAGGUGCUUGACCGGCUUGUGCGCAUCGAAGCCAGUUUGAGGGGAGCACUCCUUUCUUGCAGCCGCGGAUAUCUUGAUCUGCUGUCAAGGAGGUCAAAGCCAAAAGCUGGCUGACAUAAUACUGAAGCUCAGAAGCAGCAAAUUUUAAAGGCACAAUAGAAGUACAGAUUAAUUUUAGGAUCAAUUAAUUUGGCAAACAACAUAACUUAAUUCAAGCACAAUGUUUUUACAUUAUUACCUCAA